rnacentral:misc_RNA from 1 species
UUGGGSGAGAAUUGGUUUUCUGUGUUGCAUUCCAAUUGAAGGUAUACUUACCAAUAAGUUUUUGAUUUUCGCCUGACACUCUUACGGGUGUUUGGUGGACCCAUAUAGCUAGAUUCGUUCCCCAAACACAAUGGCGAGUUCAUAGCGCCAUUGUUAUGGAGUACGAGCUCUAGUUGUGCCCUGGGAUGCAGAAAGUUUAGUGGGGAUAGACGUUUUGAUACGUUGUUAUCCCUAAUUAAGCAUUUUAUGCUAAGCAUGAACGACAACUGGUUACGAGUUGACCUUCCCUACAAAGGGAUGGCUCAUGCGUACUAGUGUCGCUCAAGGAGUGCUACCUGGUUGAUCCUGCCAGUAGUCAUAUGCUUGUCUCAAAGAUUAAGCCAUGCAUGUGUAAGUAUGAA